UCCCCAUGAUACAUUUUGCUGAGUUGUAGAGCUGGAAUAGCUGAAAUCAAGUCCAUCAGCAUGAAAAACUUUCAAGGAUUUCAUCUUCCUCGUCUCCACAGGAAGCAUACCAAGAAUUGAGCAACCUGAUAUGAUUAGUGUCAGAUGAUGGGAGUUUUCACAGUGAUCAUGCACAAGUGACAUGAGAUAGCAAGCAUGGAUGAAAAACAGAACCCGUCACGCAAUUCGGAUGUAGUUCUCUGUUUCUAGGGAGAUUAUCUGUCACAGAAAUAUCUACGUUAAAAUCCCACAUUAAACAGCCUCAGACAUUAGAUUAAAGUGUAUUUAGUUACCUAAGACAUCAGAACGCAAAUCAGAUGGGUCGAUGAUAAGAAUUUCCCAGUAAUCAAGCACAUAAGACAUGAGAUAGUAAGCAUAUAUGACAGCUAAACCAUAUAUAUGACAAGUCAAAUUUUAGGUACCUCUGGAUUUAAGAACAAAUGCUCCACCAGCAUCUUUUCGGCAACUAUUUUCAGCAAGUACAGUACCAUUUUCCGGGUUUGCUGCCUUCGCACUUGCCAUGAAUAAUGAACUGGACUAAAUGCUGCACCAGCAUCUAUAUAAGUUUUAUACAUAUAACAUAU
rnacentral:lncRNA from 1 species